rnacentral:rRNA from 1 species
AGUCACUGACAUUAGAUACCCGGGUAGUCCUAGCCGUAAACGAUACUCGCUAGGUGUCGGCCACGGUGCGACCGUUGUCGGUGCCGUAGGGAAGCCGUGAAGCGAGCCACCUGGGAAGUACGGCCGCAAGGCUGAAACUUAAAGGAAUUGGCGGGGGAGCACCACAACGGGUGGAGCUUGCGGUUUAAUUGGAUUCAACGCCGGAAAUCUUACCGGGACCGACAGCAACAUGAAGGCCAGGCUGAAGACUUUGCCGGAUUAGCUG